UUCAGCAAGAUGAUAUCAUGGAGGGCUGGAGGAGUUGUAAAAAUAUUUGUUAUGGUAGGAAUUAUUCCUUGGUUGAUAUUAUCGACCAGGGUUAGCAAGUUUGUAUGUCGACUUGCCAAGUUCUAGAGGUUAGAUGAUUUCUGUCCUGCCAAGUUUUCAUACACAUGUUAACGUGGUUUUGUUUUGACUAUUACUUCACGAUAUCUUUAGUCAUGAACUUAGGAUUGUUACCUGCUCAUUUAAUUUGUAUCAGUGAUGUGCAGUACUAUUUUGGUCGUCUGUGUAAAUUGAGUUUAUUGUUUAUCUUAAAAAACUAACCUCUUGAAAAACC